UACGGGGGGAGCAAGCGUUGUUCGGAUUUACUGGGCGUAAAGGGCGCGUAGGCGGUCAGCACAAGUCAGUUGUGAAAUCUCCGGGCUUAACUCGGAAAGGUCACUGAUACUGUGCGACUAGAGUGCGGAAGGGGCAACUGGAAUUCUCGGUGUAGCGGUGAAAUGCGUAGAUAUCGAGAGGAACACCUGCGGCGAAGGCGGGUUGCUGGGCCGACACUGACGCUGAUGCGCGAAAGCCAGGAGAGCGAACGGG
rnacentral:rRNA from 1 species